GGUUGCUUUUGGUUGUGGAUUUG
rnacentral:siRNA from 1 species